rnacentral:rRNA from 1 species
AUGGACCCUUCCAUCCCUUAUUCCCUUGGCUAUGCAUCAGAGUCGGAUGACGAAGGUCCCGAUGAAGAAGUUGAUGAGGAGGGGCUCACGGUGAAGGAGGCCGAAGCUUACGAGAAGGUAUUCGGGCGGGAUCAUCGGACACCAUUGUUCAAGGAUGUUAGUCUCGCGGAUGAAGCCGUGGUAGAUGGUGGCCAAGGUAUAUCUGUUGGAGUUAGGACAAGUUCUCACUGUGAUUUGGAAGACGGCAAGAACGGGAUUUCUCCCGGGUCUAAGUUUGGAACCUUUUUGGAAUUGAAGAUGUGGCUCGAUAACUACUCAGUUACGCUUUAUUGUUCACACAAGGUGGUUCACUCGGACGUCAAUGUGCGUUACACGGUUGCAUGUGAAGAGAAAAAAUGUCCAUGA